GCGUUCUUUCCGUUCGUCUCUCGUUUCCUUUUAUUUGGUCGCUCGGGGGCAGCGGCAGCUCCGGAGUGCGAAGUGUGGGGGGUGGGGUGCGCCGGUGCGGGGAGGCCCGGUCGACAACUUCGCGCCGCCCCUGCUUCGUCCUCGCGGCGGCCCAGGGCCUGAGGAGGUGGAGAGGCUUCGCCGUGUCAAAGAAUUCAUCACGUGUUACAGACCAACAUGUCGUUAGAACGCAGCCAGCAGAGUCUUAGAAUACCUCAAUAGCUAACCCAGGUUUAGAGGACCGCGAAGAAACUCCCCCAAGUUGUCGACACGGUCCCCGUUCCAUUUUGGUCCGUUAAGUUAAUAACCCGUCUACUUUCGUUACCUAGCAAAAGGAGGUCGGUUACCACACAGUUCCCGAUACUACGGGGAAAGACGAAUAUACCCGUGAUUAACCAACUUAUGAAGUUCCGGGUCAAAAUUACGUAACGGUCCUGGCAAUCCACAAAGGUCGUAGGCGGCACGUAUGAGUAGUCUGUGACCUUAAUUCGGACUUCAGGGUUAACAAGGAGGGUGACUUUGACGACUCCAACCAUGACCUCCUUGGUGAACCUACCUGUAAAAACUUUUACGAGCGUUGAGGUGGUAACUACGAUGCUGACUACGUCCGUUCUUUCACUUCCUCUACUGACUACGUCAGUGUGGGGUACAAGUUUCAAAAGAACUCCGUUUAGGUCUAGAUCUUUUCCAUCAACAAGGUGAACCUCCUUGUAAUACACCAUGGGAAAACCGGACCAAACAGUACGGAUAGCAGAAGUUCUCCGAAGUAUUCAUACCAAGUGUCUUGGGCUAUAGUCGUGAAAACCCCUUGAGUCAGUUGUGGUUACGAAGUAUAUCGUGGUCGGAAACCUCACGUAACCUCCUAGGACGUUUUAUGAACUAGUGUAAAUACCGUAAAAGUCUCUACCGACGUCACUAGCGUGGUUCACAUAGUGGAAUAAAAGGUGUUCGAAACUCCCCACGUAAACAUAACAGUCAACAGACCAAAGAAGUAUCCACCUUUCGUUUGAAAUAGUGAUUUCGAUACCGGUUGGUUUGACGGAAUCAAUGACUAUCUCGUUCCAAUAGUCGAAAAUUGGUUCAGAGGAGUAACCCUGACUAACGUGAACCAUAUUACCCAGAACGACUCCGAACACCACAUCGACAAGUUAGUUAUAAUUGACAACCACCACACCCUCCACAACGAUGCCGAAAACGACGAUCUCUACAGAACCCGUUGCACAACUUACCCAAGAGGAAUGUUAAAAGAUCCGGUAAGAGUCAACCUCUUAUGUAUUUCCGACCCAGUUAUCUUCCGUGCCAUGAGCUUUAUCCUGAAUGAAGUUGAAACUACUACUCAGGUCUUUUCGAAGGAAAGUGUCAUGGGUUGAGAAACAAGAGUUCAGUCUAGUAUCACUUAUCUAGUGCUCGAGUCACCGCUCAUUCACACUGGUUCUAAGGAUAUUCUGAACUCCUAUAACUCUUCCAAGGACGACAUCGUCUCCUCUAGUUCCGAUACAAUUCCAGGUUGGGUUUUCAAUAGAACCUUUGUCUACGAGGAAUGACGAUGGACAGUUCUAACCUUUCAAGUAUACCUCUCGAACAGUAUCCCACGUAGGAGGUUUUUUACUCUUUCCUGCUCAACUAUAUACGUCUUGUCCUGUAAGAAGAUCCUCGACGGUCCUAAUAGUUCAGUGUACCGCAACUUAAACCUUCGUGGUGCGUCACGACGACUAAGACUACAAAAGAGUUUGAGUUCAUCCCACUUGCAGCAAUCGGACCUCCUCAUGUAUGCGCCUCCCAAUCUCCUCUAAAACGAACCACGCGCACGCUUCCGUCCCUGGAGAAAACCUUGGUUCCACCCUGAAAACAACGGACAGGAGUUAAGCCGUUUGUAUGUAGUAGGCAACGGCCUCUUAUAUCAGAACGCAAUGCUGUAAAACGAUGCAUGCGACUAUGAUGACGAAUCGCUCAUCAAAUGGUGCUAAGCAGUCACAAGUCAACACCAUUGAACUUUGUGUACCCCACCGUACUAGGUGACCUCCAGACGUAGUCCCGGGUCCUCAUAGGGCAAACCGGAACCUUGAGAUUUACGACCUUGCAGCUGUACGCACGUUCACAACAAAACUACGUACUGAUCCGCACUAUCUGUGGAAACAGGACUUAGCCACACAGCCCCUGGUACAACUGUGCGCAGCAAGCCGAAAAUAGAGAUCUAGACCGAUGAUAUCAGGAUACGUACACGAACAAUUAAACGAACAUCAUGAGGCAACUCAUGCAGUCUCUAAUUCCCAUACAAACCAAGAACGGGCAUCGGUUAUAACCGAGCGGUUAAUAAACCGCUCUCUAAGGUGGCGGUCCGAACCGG
rnacentral:rRNA from 1 species